rnacentral:lncRNA from 1 species
AUGUCAGCCCCCCCACGACAAAGAAGGAUCAGGUCCAGUGCGCCAGCAGGGCUGAUGUUGAGCCUGUCUGAGAUGAGAGGGAAAUCCUUCCCCGUCCGGAUCACUCCCCAAAGCUGUGCGGUUCCCAGAAAGACGGCGGCCCAAAGGCCCUUCCAUCUGUCGACGCGAGGAGCCGGCACAGAUGGAGCCGUUCAUUAUUGCUGCGUGCCUGACCCCAGCGCUGCCGGGGGCGCCUGGAAGCCGCCUUCCGAGGUGCGCUGGCUGUGCUGGGGAAAGAGCUGACCGGCGCCCGCUGGGAACUCGAGUGUGAGGAGUCCGCGGCCCAGGGCGGGGGUGAGGCUGGGAGGUGGGGUAGAGGGGAGUAGGUAGCCCCAGCCGUCCAUCCUAAACUCAGCCCCAGUCUUGGAGGCCUGAACUCAUACCUAAGCCACCGGACCCUUCUCCAG